AGAGCGAACGCUGGCGGCAGGCCUAACACAUGCAAGUCGAGCGCCCGUAGCAAUACGGGAGCGGCAGACGGGAGAGUAACACGUGGGAACGCGCCCUUCGGUUCGGAAUAACUCAGGGGAAACUUGAGCUAAUACCGGAUACGCCCUUACGGGGAAAGAUUUAUUGCCGAAGGAACGGCCCGCGUCCGAUUAGCUUGUUGGUGAGGUAACGGCUCACCAAGGCGACGAUCGGUAGCUGGUCUGAGAGGAUGACCAGCCUCACUGGGACUGAGACACGGCCCAGACUCCUACGGGAGGCAGCAGUGGGGAAUAUUGGACAAUGGGCGCAAGCCUGAUCCAGCCAUGCCGCGUGGAUGAUGAAGGCCCUAGGGUUGUAAGUCCUUUUAACGGGAAGAUAAUGACGGUACCCGUAGAAUAAGCCCGGCUAACUUCGUGCCAGCAGCCGC
rnacentral:rRNA from 1 species